UACGAAGGAGGCUAGCGUUGCUCGGAAUCACUGGGCGUAAAGGGCGCGUAGGCGGCGGGGUAAGUCGGGUGUGAAAUCUCAGGGCUCAACCCUGAAACUGCACUUGAUACUGCUCUGCUUGAGGACUGGAGAGGAGACUGGAAUUCACGGUGUAGCAGUGAAAUGCGUAGAUAUCGUGAGGAAGACCAGUGGCGAAGGCGGGUCUCUGGACAGUUCCUGACGCUGAGGCGCGAAGGCCAGGGGAGCAAACGGG
rnacentral:rRNA from 1 species